rnacentral:rRNA from 1 species
CGCCCGCUCAGAAACUCAAAUGAAUUGGACGGGGGCCCGCACAAGCGGUGGAGCAUGUGGUUUAAUUCGAUGAUACGCGAGGAACCUUACCUGGGCUCAAAUGUAUGUUGACGUAUUCUGAAAGGGAUACUUCUUCGGACAAUAUACAAGGUGCUGCAUGGUUGUCGUCAGCUCGUGCCGUGAGGUGUCGGCUUAAGUGCCAUAACGAGCGCAACCCUCAUCAUUAGUUACCAUCAGGUAAGGCUGGGGACUCUAAUGAGACUGCCAUCGUAAGAUGUGAGGAAGGUGGGGAUGACGUCAAAUCAGCACGGCCCUUACGUCCGGGGCGACACACGUGUUACAAUGGGUGGUACAAAGGGCAGCUACCUGGCGACAGGAUGCUAAUCUCGAAAACCGCUCUCAGUUCGGAUCGGAGUCUGCAACUCGACUCCGUGAAGCUGGAUUCGCUAGUAAUCGCGCAUCAGCCACGGCGCGGUGAAUACGUUCCCGGGCCUU